UUGAAUUAUAAGGCUUUGGCUGUGCUGGCCCCUCGGGGCAUGUGCACGUCUCUGCCCGUUAAUACCAACCAACCCCUGUGAACCAACCGUGGGGCGCUCUGUGAUGGAGUCGUCCCAUGUUUAUCAUAAACACUGUAUGUCUUUAGAAUGUAAAUCUAUAUCCUCGUCUUAAAAAAGCGUCGAUAAAAAAAUUAAUA
rnacentral:misc_RNA from 1 species